UCAUUCAUAUUACGUAUGUAUUAUUAUGUGGUUCUCGAGUUGUUGUUCUGCGGUGAAACGUCCGCGGAAAAGGAAAGAGAAAAGAAAAAUCGAUAUUCGAUGGAACUAUGGACAGUGGCGGUGGAUCGAAAUCAUUACAAUACUACACAUGACUGGACUACUCUUGCGACAUAUUAAUUCAUUCGUCUAUUUGGGGUACCUAAUAUUAGGUGUAACGAUUCGAGGUUGUGCACUUGUGCGUCCGUCCGAACGAGAGAUUUUUGGUUUCCAGCCACACUGGCAGAUCAUAAACGAUAAACCGUAAACGGCGGUACGGCUCUCACGCGAUGAUUCGCGAACCUAUUAUAAUGAUAUGUUUAUCGUUUACAUUGUAUGUUAUCGUGGGACAUGGAUUGGCGACGGAUUCAUCUUUACAACGAAUAACGAUAACGACCAUAAUAAUAGCGAUAUAAUUAUAAUUC